rnacentral:rRNA from 1 species
AUUGAACGCUGGCGGCAGGCCUAACACGUGCAAGUCGAGCGGAUGAAGGGAGCUUGCUCCUGGAUUCAGCGGCGGACGGGUGAGUAAUGCCUAGGAAUCUGCCUGGUAGUGGGGGAUAACGUCCGGAAACGGGCGCUAAUACCGCAUACGUCCUGAGGGAGAAAGUGGGGGAUCUUCGGACCUCACGCUAUCAGGUGAGCCUAGGUCGGAUUAGCUAGUUGGUGGGGUAAAGGCCUACCAAGGCGACGAUCCGUAACUGGUCUGAGAGGAUGAUCAGUCACACUGGAACUGAGACACGGUCCAGACUCCUACGGGAGGCAGCAGUGGGGAAUAUUGGACAAUGGGCGAAAGCCUGAUCCAGCCAUGCCGCGUGUGUGAAGAAGGUCUUCGGAUUGUAAAGCACUUUAAGUUGGGAGGAAGGGCAGUAAGUUAAUACCUUGCUGUUUUGACGUUACCAACAGAAUAAGCACCGGCUAACUUCGUG